CGGACCCGUCCCCGCACGCGCCGACCGCCCUGGACGAGUCGAGCCGUCGUUACCUGGCCGGCGGCGGGGUGUUGGGCCGGGGGCGUCCGCGUGGCCCCUCGCACAGCGCGUCCUCGCCUGGCGCAGGUGCGGCGCGGGGGCUUCUGGCGGCGGCCGCUUCUAAAGGCAGCGUCGGGUAUCGGGUUUUCUCCGCUCGCCGGUGCCCGAGCUGUGUGCAAGAAGAACUUGCCUGCUCCCUGGAACGGCGUGAGCUGGAGGAGCCCUGUGGCUGUGACAAACAGUACCUGGCACUUGAAUUUGCAGCAGACUGACAAGCCCAGUACUGAAGGAUGAAUGCCACAGGAAAUGAGUGCAGUCCUUGAGAGAAUUUAGCAUCCACCUUUACGCCUCAGUGUCCAGGCCCCUGGCCAGCACGUGAGGUCUGCACAAGACUUGUGCGGUUACUCCCCUCGUCCGGUUGUCCUACACUUUUUCUCACAGUCACCAAAACCCUGGGUUUCAGCCUCAGUGGAGGACAGGUACGUGACCCAGUACAAAUGAAAGAACAUUUAGACGAGAUGAUGGGAAAUUUACAAUAUGACUCAAUCCAAAAGUUCUACAUUACAGUUCUGCAAUUUAAAUUUAUGUUAUUUCCUCUCCCUAAUUUUUAUUUAUAUUAUAAUUAAGAUACUAAGUUUAUAUUAUUUGGUUUUGGCUAAGUGACUUUAUGACAUGAAGGCCCUGCAAAAUCUCCAGGUUCUGAGCCAUGGUUUAUCAGAAUAUCUCCGUGGAAGAUGAAUUUUUAACAAAACAGCUAAACCGUGCAGUUGUAUAAACGAGGCCUUAUUCUUACAGUUCUUUUUUAGUCAGGGAGUUUUGUGUCGGGAUUAUUCUCGGUAAGUGGGAAGGACUUGCUGUGUAAUCCAUCAGGGGUAAUAGUCAAUUCCUUUGAAAAGCUUUUCAUUGUAAUUUUCCAUUUUAAAAACAUCAUGCAUUUCUGUUUUUUUAAGUACUUAUGCCUGUUAUUUAUCCUUAUAGCCGUUUGACGUAGGUAGUGAAGGAAUUAUUGCUAAUAGCAAAAACCCAUAAAAUGGGAGCGGGGAGGCCAGCAUAGCCUGCUGUUUCCCUAAGCCCUCUGUGUCCUUUUCCCUCACCUUGAUCCCCGCUCUGCUCUGCGCUCCACUUCCCCUCCUGCUGGGCUCCUCACCCUGACUCCCGCCAGCGCUCUUCCUGCUGCCACCAUGUGUGCCUGCCUGUCCUCUAACUCCUGUGCCCCCUGCCGCCUGCAUCUCCAGGGCGCUGCUCUGCUCUGCAUCCUUUUCCUGCUUUCACCCUCCUCCGAUCUGUUGACCCCAAAAUGGGAGUCCUUUCCUGGCCCAGCCCUUCCGUGUCAUGGAGGGAUCAGCAGCUGACAGAGAAGGAGCUGUCCUCCAUGAAGCUGGUGGUCCCCUGCUUAGCGUAGCAGCAAACUGGGAGGCCCCACAGCCCCCCACCUGGUGGGCUGUCAGGAUGAGGAGUGGUCCCUCCUUGAAGUGGCUGUCGUAAGUUACCAGGUCCCAGUGUCACCUAGUCGGUGAGCGCACUCAAAGAAUCAGUCACUCACUGCACAGUGGAAGCACUACACAGAGGGCUGGCGGGUCACACAGCUUGAGUUCAGGGAGCAGGGCCAAACUCCAAACUAGAGCUGGGCCCUUUGAUGCUAAAUGGAGAUAAGUUUAGGAAAGUGAAAGUAAUUGCUCUAAGCAGCAAGAGGAAUUUUCUAGACCCUGUUCCCUUAGGAGGCGAUACAAACACAGUAGCAUUAGCUUUGGAGUGAUUUGCAGCAGAAUCACAAGGAUGGAGCCUUUGUAAGUAUUUGGGGCACAUAACCGUAGUUUUUGGGUGGAAGACCAGAGUGCCCGGUUGUUCAGUGAGCCCUGGUUUUGACCCAAUAUGGUAAUUUGUGAGCUCGAAGGAGACCAGAACUAUUCCAGUCCUCACAUGAGCCAGGGACCUUUGGACCGUCUUGCGAUGUCUGCUUUUAGUCACAAAGAAGACAGAGGCCUGAACCAGAAUUCAGGACAAAGCAAUAGCAAAUGUUUUAAGCCCACACUCUUGUUUUCCUUAUCCUUUUCAGUGCUGGGGAUCAAAUCCAGCGCCUCACACAUGCAGGGAAAACACCCUACCACUGAGCCACAUCCCCAGCCCUGCACACAUUUUAACCAGUUAACUCACUGCAAAAAAAAAAAAAAAGAUACCAGUUUUGUCUCCUCUUCUGCAGGAUGAAAAUAGAAUUUAUUGCAGUGUAUUAAAGUCCCAUUAUAGCAAAACAGGAUGACCUUUUGUUGUUUUUAAUAAUGGCAUUAGACCUGCAGGAAGCUAAAUCUGAUGAGAGAAGAGUGGUAUUAAAACAGAGCAAAACUUCCGAAGUCCGCCUCCAGGCUCCCUUUUUGAAGCACAGCAGUAGGGAAUCAAGUACGCGUGCGCUUGCACCCUGCCUGCCUGUGCCCGUUCACACACACACACACACGCACACACGCACACCCCGGCCCGGUGUGAGGGCACGUGCCAUGGUGUGUUGCUGGAAUGCUAGGGGAGAGGGGCUUCCCAUGCUGGCUCCGCCCCUACCUGGCUGUGCAACUGAAGAGUUGGGUUAAGUCGGUGAUGGUGAACCUUUCAGAGACAAGUGCCCAAACUGCACCCCAAAACCCACCUCUUGGUCACAAAGUGCCGACACUGCAAUUAAACUGGAAUGUUCGUUCAGCUGCUGGCUCACCUGCCGACAGACAGGCUGUGCGUGCCCACUGCGGCACGCGUGCCCUAGCUUCACCACCACCGGUUUAAGUGAUCUUAGGGUUUCUCCAGCCCUAGAAUGGCCCAGUGCCCUGUCUCAUAAGAGGACUGGGUGAGAUGUCUUCCCUCCCUGACUCCUCACGGUUUCAUAGCCUGUCAACAAGAGGCUCCCUUUGUUGAGUCCACCACACCCCACGCCCAGCCCCUACGGGGACCUGUGUAGGGGGGACCCUGUCCCUUCUGGGUUUACCUGGCCUGUGUGAUUCUGUUUUUCCUCUGAGCACCCAGUUCACUCUCUUUGGUGUGGGGGAAGGGCAUGUGGAUUUGGGGCCACCAGGCCUCAUCCCCGCGUGAGGGAGAGGGGUCUCCUGUGGUUACUGAGCCUCGGUAGUCAAGGGAAAAGCAUUCAUCUUCCCAAUCUGU